AUUGAACGCUGGCGGCAGGCCUAACACAUGCAAGUCGAGCGGGGUUUUCGGACCUAGCGGCGGACGGGUGAGUAAUGCGUAGGAAGCUGCCCGAUAGAGGGGGAUACCAGUUGGAAACGACUGUUAAUACCGCAUAAUGUCUACGGACCAAAGUGUGGGACCUUCGGGCCACAUGCUAUCGGAUGCGCCUACGUGGGAUUAGCUAGUUGGUGAGGUAAUGGCUCACCAAGGCGACGAUCUCUAGCUGGUUUGAGAGGAUGAUCAGCCACACUGGAACUGAGAAACUGUCCAGACUCCUACGGGAGGCAGCAGUGGGGAAUAUUGGACAAUGGGCGCAAGCCUGAUCCAGCCAUGCCGCGUGUGUGAAGAAGGCCUUCGGGUUGUAAAGCACUUUCAGCGAGGAGGAAGGGUGGUGUGUUAAUAGCACAUCAUUUUGACGUUACUCGCAGAAGAAGCACCGGCUAACUCUGUGCCAGCCGCCGCUGUAAGAC
rnacentral:rRNA from 1 species